rnacentral:rRNA from 1 species
AAUAAAGACUGGAGGUUUAUUUGAUAAGUUGGUAUAAUGUUAAAUUGUUUAUUGAUUUAAGAGUUGUCUGUUUAUGUUUUGUAAAAAAUUAUAUUUUUUUAUUUAAUAGUACAUUUUAUUAAAAUUUUUAAGAGAACUAAAGGGGACUAGUACCGUAAGGGAAGUUUUUUAAUUGGAGGAAAGAAGAGUUGAAUUUUCGUACCUUUUGUAUCAGGGGCUUUUAAAUUAGCUUAUUUAACAAUAAGUUUCCCGAAGCAAGGUGAUCUAAUUUAUUGAAUAUUUCUGCGUGGUAAAGUGGAAUGGAAAGUUAAGUUAGCGGUGAAAUGUCAGUCGAACUUUAUAUAUCUGGUUGUUUCCGAAGUAAAUUGAAUUUGACUUUAGUGAGAAAUUUCGCUGGAGGUUCAUUUAAGGGGGAAAAGCUCCUUAAUUUUGUGUAUAAGAGUGUUUUUUGAUUAAUUAGAAUUAGGCUUAAGAUCAGCCAUAUUACUACAACGUUUUAGUGUAUAGUUGUUUAUACAAAAAAUUUGUUUCUUUUUAUGGAAAGUAGGAAAUUAGGUGCAGAAAUAUGGGGUGUUCUGAAAAAAUGAUUGUAUUAGUAAAAUUUUUGUUAAAGAAUUUAAAAAUCUAAAUUUGUGCAAUUUAAAUUUUGAGAGUUAUCUUUAAGGAAUUCGGCAAUUUGUGUACCCGCCUGUUUAUCAAAAACAUGUCUAUUGGAUUUAAAUCGAUAGUCUGACCUGCCCACUGAAUAUUUUAAAUGGCCGCGGUAUUUAGACCGUGCUAAGGUAGCAUAAUCAAUAGUCUUUUAAUUGGGGACUAGAAUGAACGGUUGGAUGAGGUACAAGCUGUCUAGCAAUUGUAAUUUUGAAUUUUACUAUUAAGUGAAAAGGCUUAAAUUAUUUAGCGGGACGAUAAGACCCUAUAAAGCUUUUAUUUGGCUUAUUAUUUUAACUAUGAUAUUUUUGUGCUUAUGUUAAAAUUAGGGUCAAAUUGGGUUGGGGCGACUGGGAUAUAAAAGGUAACUGUCCUUAUGAUUAAAAUAAUGGUUUUUAGGUAUUUGAUCCUGUAGUAUGGGUUAAAAGAUUAAAGUUACUUUAGGGAUAACAGCGUAAUUCUUUUUGAGAGUUCUUAUCGACAAAAGUGUUUGCGACCUCGAUGUUGAAUUAAAGUUUCGUCAAGGUGUAGCAGCUUUGAUUGUAGGUCUGUUCGACCUUUAAAGCUUUACAUGAUUUGAGUUCAGACCGGCGUAAGCCAGGUUAGUUUCUAUCUACUAUGUGUUAUAUAGGUUAUUUUAGUACGAGAGGAGAGAGUAGCUGGAAUAUUUCUUUGUUUGGAUGAAUAUUAAAGGGUUU